GGGGCCGUAGGGUAGCGGUAAUCCUGCGGCGUUCGGGACGCCGUGACCCGAGUUCGACUCUCGGCGGCCCCA
rnacentral:tRNA from 1 species